rnacentral:rRNA from 1 species
CCUACGGGGGGCUGCAGUGGGGAAUAUUGGACAAUGGGGGAAACCCUGAUCCAGCAAUGCCGCGUGUGUGAAGAAGGCCUGCGGGUUGUAAAGCACUUUCGGUUGGGAAGAAAAGUUUGGCGCCAAUACCGCCGAACCUUGACGUUACGGACAGAAGAAGCACCGGCUAACUCAGUGCCAGCAGCCGCGGUAAGACAGAGGGUGCAAGCGUGAAUCGGAAUCACUGGGCGUAAAGCGUGCGGAGGGGGUCAUCCCCGGGCUUACGCUGGGAACUGCAUUCGAUACUACAUGGCUGGAGGAUGGUAGAGGGAAGUGGAAUUUCCGGUGUAGCGGUGAAAUGCGUAGAUAUCGGAAGGAACACCAAUGGCGAAGGCAGCUUCCUGGACUAAUACUGACACUGAGGCACGAAAGCGUGGGUAGCAAACAGGAUUAGAUACCCCGGUAGUC